GUCAUGUUGUCUAUUGAGAAUGUCAGACCAAAGAAAAUGGACAAACAGCGCAUUGUGGACAAGUCCGCGGAGCUUAAGCCUCGUCCAAACAGUGAGUAAACACAGAUCUGUGAGUGAGCCGCAGCAGAGCAAGGAUCAGCGGAUUCAUGCAGAAAUACUCUGCAUCAGAAAGAGGAGAGGAACAACAUUUCAACAAUGAGCGUAACCUGUGACCUCCACCUCUGCUCAGGAAUAAGUCAGAUACAGAUGUGAUGCACAAAUAUAAUAGUUUCAUUUGGGAACAAUGCGUGAGUGAAGACAAAAGCUAUGAGACCCCCAAGGACUAAUAAAAGCAUCCUCUACCAGUACGGCCUGUGACUGAAUUACCACCCACCUCCCCGAAACCCGCUCCCACUUCCCCGGCAGCCGAGCAUCUAAUGCAUUUACCAACAGAGACGAGAAGACGGCACGCUGACAGCAGAGAAUCAGCUCUCUCAGAGAUGGUAAUGGGGGGAAAAGGAGCCUCCAGCCCAGUUCCAAAUCCUAAUGUGGAGGGCAGGGCUGCCAGAAAGGAGGCAGUCAUGGUGAGAGGCUGUGGGAUUGGUGGGAUUAUAAUGGCUUUUGGAGAGGAUGAGAGGUGCAGAUGGGCUGUGAGAGGAAACUGGGUCCAAACCCAGCACUGACGUAGAUGUCAGCCGUGGAGAUGGUGCCGUUUCGCUCAGCGGUGCAUCAUAAAUCCAAUUAAGCACUCAAAUCCAAAUUAACACAUGCACAAACAUGCACAGAGGCACAUACAGACAGCAGGACCAUACUGCAAGUACAAAAUAUUUGUUCAGAGAUGCAAAUAAAUUCACCAACCAAGCUGGCAUCAGUAUUUCUCAUGUCUUAAAAAUCCUACAAAUGCUUUCAACUGUUUCCUUGGCCCUCUGACAGGACGGACAGAGCUGUUGCUCUCUGUAACGUCAAAACAAGCUCAACAAGUCCUCAGACAGACACUCAUGAAUGCUUUCCCCUGCACAAAGCCUUAACAGUCUAACCUCAGAAGUGUUAUAUCAUCUGAGCACAUAAACUCCACAAAUCGAUGCUUGACUUUAUUCCAUCGCCUACCCGACUGGCAGGAAAUCAUCUGCAGAGAAACUCAGACGAGUUUAUAUGAGUUACAAGUGAAGAAAUGUUUCCUGCUCUGGAUGUAAACAGUGCUCACAGCCAAGUGCAGCCAUCUCUGAAGACCUUAAUAUCUAUGUUUAUGCAACCUUAAGCUGCUCUGGAUCACUAUUUUUAAAUAAACAA